rnacentral:rRNA from 1 species
GUCCACGCCCUAAACGAUGAUGACUCGGUGUCGGCGACAGGCUGUCGGCGCCCAAGCGAAAGCGUUAAGUCAUCCACCUGGGGAGUACGCCCGCAAGGGUGAAACUCAAAGGAAUUGACGGGGCCCGCACAAGCGGAGGAGCAUGUGGUUUAAUUCGAUGAUACGCGAGGAACCUUACCCGGGCUUGAAAGUUACCGAAUGCCCCAGAGACGGGGCAGCCCUUCGGGGCGGGAAACUAGGUGCUGCAUGGCUGUCGU